CUCCUAUGAUGAUCCAGCCAUGCUAAUACUGAUACAUCAGGCAGAUGCAUGUUGUCUGUCGGGGUGUAAGUGAGUUCAGCUCACUUUCUCAUGCUGGUAGAUUCAGUGUGUGCUGAGGAGA